UGGGGAAUAUUGCACAAUGGGCGCAAGCCUGAUGCAGCAACGCCGCGUGAACGAUGAAGGUCUUCGGAUCGUAAAGUUCUGUUGCAGGGGAAGAUAAUGACGGUACCCUGUGAGGAAGCCCCGGCUAACUACGUGCCAGCAGCCGCGGUAAUACGUAGGGGGCUAGCGUUAUCCGGAUUUACUGGGCGUAAAGGGUGCGUAGGUGGUCUUUCAAGUCGGUGGUUAAAGGCUACGGCUCAACCGUAGUUAGCCUCCGAAACUGGAAGACUUGAGUGCAGGAGAGGAAAGUGGAAUUCCCAGUGUAGCGGUGAAAUGCGUAGAUAUUGGGAGGAACACCAGUAGCGAAGGCGGCUUUCUGGACUGCAACUGACACUGAGGCACGAAAGCGUGGGGAGCAAACAGG
rnacentral:rRNA from 1 species